UACAGAGGGGGCAAGCGUUGUUCGGAAUUACUGGGCGUAAAGGGCGCGUAGGCGGCCUGUUAAGUCGGACGUGAAAUCCCUCGGCUCAACCGGGGAACUGCGUCCGAUACUGGCGGGCUUGAAUUCGGGAGAGGGAUGUGGAAUUCCAGGUGUAGCGGUGAAAUGCGUAGAUAUCGGGAAGAACACCGGUGGCGAAAGCGCUCUGCUGGACCACAACUGACACUGAGGGACGAAAGCUAGGGGAGCGAAUGGG
rnacentral:rRNA from 1 species